CUGUGCUUUCCUGUCUCUCCGCUGGGCUGGGCUGGGCUGGGCUGGGCUGGGCUGGGCUGCGGGAGCAUUGCCAGCCGGAGCUCAUGGGCACCUGGUGGUACCCUGAGGGAGGCUCUGGAGGAUGGCCCUCUCUUGCCCCUUGGAACAGCCCCCCUUGCCAGGGCCAGAGUAGCUGAGCUCCUGCCUUCGGGAGGGGCUGGGUUUUAUCACCUCUGAGCGGCCAGCCCAGGGCCACAUGCAGGAGGACAGGUGGGCACCCGCUUUGAGGCACAGGCCCACAUCCCAGGGACGACCAGGGUUCCUGGGUUCUGCUCCCUGCAGCUUUCAGGGCUGUGAUCUCUGGGUCCCCGCAGGCCGUGGGCCGGGCUGAGCCAGAAGCAGAGGAGGUGGUCUGGAGGCUCCCCUGGUCUCAACUAACCCUCCUUUCUGGCGUCUCUGGCACUAACCUGACCAGACCCACGUGGGGUGGGGACAGCUGACCACCCUUGAAGAGCACAGCCUUCUGGGGCUGGCUGGCCCGCGGGGGCUGUUCUGGUUUCUUUUCCCAGCCCGUGAGCCUGGGGGCUGGCCCUCUGUCCCCAGGACGGCUUUCCUCACUCUCUGAGGCCCACAGCAGGGGGCCUCACCCAGGCUCUACCCCCCCGUCUGACCACACUGCCCGGUGUCUGCCCUGGGGGACCUGAACUUCAGGGGCCUGGGGCUUCUCUGACAAGGGGGGCUGGCUGGAGGGCCCUUGAGGCCCAGAGUGGCUAUGUCAGUGGCUGCAAAGGAAAGGACGACGUGUGGGCUAGCCUCUGCUGCUGGGCUCAGGCCUGUCGGCCG
rnacentral:lncRNA from 1 species